ACCUCGAUGGCUCAGAUGGAUAGAGUGUCUGCCAUGCAAGCAGGAGAUCCCGGGUUCGAAUCCCGGUCGAAGCA